rnacentral:lncRNA from 1 species
GAGGAAUUUGUCCAAAUCACAAUGAUCCUCCAAAACUCAAGUCAGGGACCUCCUCUUCUAAGUUCUGCCUUUAGUUCAGCUGCCUGAUCCAUCAGACUGGGGUUGGGAAUCACUAUAAUUUAGGAUUGUGGACUAGAUAGGAUAAUGGCUCAGCUGCUUUAACAAAUUAAGAGCGACUUAACCAAGACAAGAGGCUUAUUUCUUUUGCACCUUAAAGUCUGAGUUGGCAUAAUUUGUUGAAGGGUUAGGGAGAAGAGAUGAGGUGGCACAGCUACAUGAGAUCAUCCAGGAACCUGGUACCUUCUAUCAGUCCUGUAUGUUAUAUUACACAACCUACCACAACCAUGGCCAAGUUUCAGCCCAAACAAAGAAAACAGUUGACGUGGAAGGAAGUGGCUUGAUGGAAAUGGAUGGACAUGAAUAUGAGAUCAACAAAAAGUGGAUAUCCUGCUGUAGCCCAGACAUAGUUUGGGAGAAGCUGUGUCAAUACGCGUGGCCAUGUAUGUUCAUGCCAGGAAGAACCCUAGAUAACAAUCCUUUCUUACUUUGGACCGAGAGAAGAAUAAGGCCAAGUGAUGUUGCGUUUGUGUGAUAAAACUCAGUAAAUGUGCCUCCUUUCUUUUUCUAUUACCUGACAUUCAGAAAGCAUCAUGCAACUGAAUAAUGUAGAUAGGCUAGGAAGAAAUAAAAUUGUUGACUUUAAGUGACUUACAAAAUCCCAGAAUCCAAACAACUAUAGCAGCAAAAUAGCUGCUAGAAGGUGGCUAUAUCAUUCCGUGUUCUUAUUUUCACCUAGAAUGAUUUUAUGGCUGACAAAACCACACACUUUUUCAGCAUAUUUGUGAAAGGUUGCAAAGGUCAACAUGUUAUUCCUUUUAG